UGUGUUCUCGAGAGAUCUGAGUUCUGUUCCCAGCACUCACUCACAUGGUGGCUAACAACGGCCUAAAUCCAGUUCCGGGGCAUCUGACACUCUGGAGACACCUGCAUACACAAGCUGCCAUCAACUGCCUCACUCUCAAGAGAUCUGGCCUAUUUACAGUCCUUGUGGAGGAAGAAAGAACCUCACAAGAUCCUCAUGUGGUCCAGCAACUCCCAAGGUUAUAGAAGCAGAAAACAAUUGCUUGGGAAAGCUGCCGCGAGUCUAUCUGGUGAGAACCGUUCGUACCCUGUUCUCAGGGCCAGAAGCAAGGCUGUUGGAAGUCGGAGAAUACUUGCUGUUGCUUUCCAAGACUGGCGGUGGAGGGGAGCUGACUGGCAGUGAAGGGGCCACACACUAAGGGCCUUGUCAACCUCUCAAUGAAUUAGCCAAAGCAAUGUUUCUGGGUUGCCAAAACAGAAUUUGCUAGCCCAGGUUAUUAAAAUGCAAAUGUCCAACAAAGUGCCUGGAGGCAGGAAUGCACACACACAGAGUAUGUACAUUUUGUACAUGUGGGCUGCGGAAGGCUGCAGGAGCCUCAACAGUGAAGACCACCUACCUGGUAACCAGGAGACCCGAGGUUGGGAACACUAUGGCACAGGUCGGGAGGCAUGGAGACAACUGCCACAAUCCGGAAAGACCUAGGCCACUGUUCUCAGGAAUGCCUCCAGAC